rnacentral:rRNA from 1 species
AUUCGAUUGUGCCAGCAGCCGCGGUAAUACGUAGGUGGCGAGCGUUAUCCGGAUUUAUUGGGUUUAAAGGGAGCGUAGGCGGCUGAUUAAGUCAGCGGUGAAAGGUAGCAGCUUAACUGUUUUACAUGCCGUUGAUAUUGGUUAGCUUGAGUUGACAGAAGGCAGAUAGAAUUCCUGAUGUAGCGGUGAAAUGCUUAGAUAUCAGGAGGAAUACCGAUUGCGAAGGCAGUCUGCUGCAGUCACACUGACGCUGAGGCUCGAAGGUGCGGGGAUCAAACAGGAUUAGAUACCCUGGUAGUCCGCACAGUAAACGAUGAUUACUAGAUGUUGGCCAAGCCAGUGUCCAAGGGAAACCGAUAAGUAAUCCACCUGGGGAGUACGCCGGCA